AGUUGAUCAUGGCUCAGGAUGAACGCUAGCUACAGGCUUAACACAUGCAAGUCGAGGGGCAGCAGGACGAUAGCUUGCUAUUGUUGCUGGCGACCGGCGCACGGGUGAGUAACGCGUAUCCAACCUUCCCCUUAGUAGGGCAUAGCCCGUAGAAAUGCGGAUUAAUACCCUAUGUUAUUCGUUGAGGACAUCUGAAGUGAAUCAAAGGUUUACCGCUAAGGGAUGGGGAUGCGUCUGAUUAGGCAGCAGGCGGGGUAACGGCCCACCUGGCCUACGAUCAGUAGGGGUUCUGAGAGGAAGGUCCCCCACAUUGGAACUGAGACACGGUCCAAACUCCUACGGGAGGCAGCAGUGAGGAAUAUUGGUCAAUGGGCGCGAGCCUGAACCAGCCAAGUAGCGUGCAGGAUGACGGCCCUAUGGGUUGUAAAUUGCUUUUAUGCGGGGGUAAAGUUCACUACGUGUAGUGUUUUGUAGGUACCGCAUGAAUAAGGACCGGCUAAUUCCGUGCCAGCAGCAGC
rnacentral:rRNA from 1 species